UACGUAGGGACCAAGCGUUGUUCGGAUUUACUGGGCGUAAAGGGCGCGUAGGCGGCAAUUCAAGUCAUCUGUGAAAUCUCCGGGCUUAACCCGGAACGGUCAGAUGAUACUGCUUUGCUAGAGUGCGGAAGGGGCAAUCGGAAUUCUCGGUGUAGCGGUGAAAUGCGUAGAUAUCGAGAGGAACCCCUGAGGUGAAGACGGGUUGCUGGGCCGACACUGACGCUGACAGCGCGAAAGCCAGGGGAGCAAACGGG
rnacentral:rRNA from 1 species